rnacentral:rRNA from 1 species
UACAUGUGGGGCAAGCGUUGUUCGGAAUUACUGGGCAUAAAGGGUGCGUAGGCGGUUUGUUAAGUCACUGGUGAAAGUUUUCGGCCCAACCGGAAAAUUGCCUGUGAUACUGGCGAACUUGAGUGCGUGAGGGGUGGGGGGAACGAGCAGUGUAGCGGUGAAAUGCGUAGAUAUUGCUCGGAAGGCCGGAGCCGAAGGGGCCCCACUGGUACGUAACUGACGCUGAGGAACGAAAGCGUGGGGAGCAAACAGG